ACUCCUACGGGAGGCAGCAGUGGGGAAUAUUGCAUAAUGGGCGCAAGCCUGAUGCAGCCAUGCCGCGUGUGUGAAGAAGGCCUUCGGGUUGUAAAGCACUUUCAGUUGUGAGGAAGGUGGUGUCGUUAAUAGCGGCAUCAUUUGACGUUAGCAACAGAAGAAGCACCGGCUAACUCCGUGCCAGCAGCCGCGGUAAUACGGAGGGUGCGAGCGUUAAUCGGAAUUACUGGGCGUAAAGCGCAUGCAGGUGGUUUGUUAAGUCAGAUGUGAAAGCCCGGGGCUCAACCUCGGAACUGCAUUUGAAACUGGCAGACUAGAGUACUGUAGAGGGGGGUAGAAUUUCAGGUGUAGCGGUGAAAUGCGUAGAGAUCUGAAGGAAUACCGGUGGCGAAGGCGGCCCCCUGGACAGAUACUGACACUCAGAUGCGAAAGCGUGGGGAGCAAACAGGAUUAGAUACCCUGGUAGCACAGAG
rnacentral:rRNA from 1 species